AGAUUACAGGCUUGUACUACCGCCCCUGGUUUGGGUGUCUACACUUGAAAUGAGAGCACUGCUUGGGAAAGAAUGGAUCCUAUAAGUUGGCAUGGGGACAUUGGGCCCCUAAAUUACUUUUAAACAUUUUAUUAGUGCGUUAGAGUUAUACAUAAUAUUGAGGUUCAUUCUGACAUCAUCUCACAUGCAUGGAAUUUAAUAUGCUCCAUUUCAGUCCCCAGCGCUUCCUAUUUCCCUCCCCUCUUACCCCAGCCCCUUGUUUCCUUUCCAGUUACUCUACUGGUCUGACUUGUAUUUAUUGACUGUUUUUUAAUUGGUGCUUUAUAGACAAAGUUGAAAUUCACUGGGGUAUAUUCAUAUAUGUGCAUAGCAUAAUUUGGCCAGUGUUAUUCCACAGUUCCUUCCCUUUUCAUCCCUCUUCUUCUAUCCCCUCUUCUACUCCAUUGGUGUCUCUUCUAUUGUCAUGGAAUCCCUCUCCCUUUUUUACCUUAUUUUACUUUAGCUUCCACAUGUGAAAGAAAACGUUUGACCCUUGACUUCCUGGUCUGACUUUCCCCCUUAAUAUGAGGUUCUCCAUUACCAUCCAUUUAUUAGCAAAUACCAUAAUUUCAUACUUCGUUAUGAUUAAGUAAAACUCUAUUGUGUGUGUGUGUGUGUGUGUGUCCCCGUCCAGUCAUCUGCUGACAAGCAAUUGGGCUGGUUCCCUAACUUGAGCCCCUAAAUUCCAUUGUAUCUUCAUCACCAAAGGAAGACAUUUCUCUACCUUCAACCGAAGUGGCUUACCUAACCUCACAGGAAGUGACCCUCCUGACUCCAAUGGCACCAGCCUUGGAGUCUCAGCUCUUGGGGGGAUUAACCUUCAUUGCCUGGGGAAACCUUAGUGGCCUCCCUCAAAGUGGCUGUCAUGCAGGACAAUGCUGACUGUCGGGACCAACCUCCACCUGCCCUCUUUACUUCUAGACCUAUAAUUAGGCUUCAGUUCCAGAAGCCACCCAAGAGGAGGUACAAAAUGUGAUCCAUUACGAGAUGCAUUUCAUUCUGAAAGAAAUUUCUGGAAGAAAUUAUUUCUCUAAUUUAUAUAGUCAAAAAUCCAAGGAACAAAUGUUGGAAUGUGUGGGAAGCCGUUCUUGCACGUGAUUGAGCUACCUCCCUGGCUGGGUGUGAGGCGUUCAGACCAGCUGGGUCAAAGCUUUUCCCCACCCUUCCCAGGUGCAAGGGCUUGUCCGUGUCGGGGUGUGACUGACCAUUGACCUGAAAACCCAUCACUGACCCUGACUUUGGAAUGCUGUCCCCCUCAACCUUCAUUGGAUGAGAUUUUCCCUUGAAUUUUUUGUUCCCCAAUAAAAGCUAAUCCUCUGGCGUGCCUCUCUCUCUCUUGUGUAAACCUCGCU
rnacentral:lncRNA from 1 species